rnacentral:tRNA from 1 species
GUCAUUGUAGUUUAAUAUUAGAAUAUGUAACUUGUAAUUACAGGGUAUUUAAUGGCA